GUUUGAUCCUGGCUCAGAACGAACGCUGGCGGCGUGGCUAAGACAUGCAAGUCGAACGGAUCAUUUGCUUGGGUAACCGAAAGAAUGAUUAGUGGCGAAAGGGUGAGGAAUAGAUAGGUAACGUACCCUGUACUUCGGAAAAGCGUCAGGUGCUUGCACCUUUCCGAAAGGGGCGGUAAUACCGGAUAAUGUGGCAGAUUGCAGGAUUUGUCACCAAAGAUUAAUCGGUGCAGGAGCGGCCUAUCUCCUAUCAGCUAGUUGGUGAGGUAAUGGCUCACCAAGGCUUACGGGUAGCGGGACUGAGAGGUUGGCCCGCCACAUCGGGACUGAGACACUGCCCGGACCUCCACGGAGGGCUGCAGUAACGAAUAUUGGGCAAUGGGCGAAAGCCUGACCCAGCGACGCCGCGUGCAGGAUGAAGUCCCUCGGGAUGUAAACUGCUUUCAGGGAUUAAAAAGCUACGGUUGAUUGGUCCCAGAAGAAGUCACGACUAACUUCGUGCCAGCAGUCGCGGUAAGACGAAGGUGGCAAGCGUUGUUCGGAAUCACUGGGCUUAAAGCGCGCGUAGGCGGAAUUGUAAGUGCUUUGUGAAAUCCCUCGGCUUAACCGAGGAAUUGCUUGGCAAACUGUAAUUCUUGAGGCAGGUAGGGGUGUGUGGAACUCUUGGUGGAGCGGUGGAAUGCGUAGAUAUCAAGAGGAACGCCGAAGGUGAAGACAGCACACUGGACCUGACCUAACGCUGUGGCGCGAAAGCGUGGGGAGCAAACAGGAUUAGAUACCCUGGUAGUCCACGCCCUAAACGAUGCCUACUAGACUGUGGGGGUUCUGACACCAUCACAGUCGAAGCAAAAGUGUUAAGUAGGCCGCCUGGGGAGUACGGUCGCAAGGCUAAAACUCAAAGGAAUUGACGGGGGCUUACACAAGCGGUGGAGCAUGUGGAUUAAUUCGAAUCAACGCGCAGAACCUUACCUAGGUUUGACAUGCUUGUAUGCCGUCGUGGAAACAUGAUUGGCUGCCCUUCGGGGUGAAACUUGCACAGGUGCUGCAUGGCUGUCGUCAGCUCGUGUCGUGAGAUGUCGGGUUAAGUCCUUUAACGAGCGAAACCCUUGCCGUUAGUUACCAGCGGGUCAUGCCGGGGACUCUAACGGGACUGCCGGUGUUAAACCGGAGGAAGGCGGGGAUGACGUCAAGUCCUCAUGGCCUUUAUACCUAGGGCUUCACACGUGCUACAAUGGUGACUACAGAGCGACGCAAUGCCGCGAGGCGGAGCAAAUCGCAAAAAAGUCGCCCCAGUUCAGAUUGCAGGCUGGCAACUCGCCUGCAUGAAGUUGGAAUCGCUAGUAAUCGCGCAUCAGCGAUGGCGCGGUGAAUGUGUUCCUAAGCCUUGUACACACCGCCCGUCAAGUGAUGGGAGCCGGAAGUACCCGAAGUCGGUUUGCUGACCCGCAAGGGAGGCGACUGCCUACGGUAAGUUCGGUGACUGGCACUAAGUCGUAACAAGGUA
rnacentral:rRNA from 1 species